UACGGAGGGAGCUAGCGUUGUUCGGAUAUACUGGGCGUAAAGCGCACGUAGGCGGCGCCGUAAGUCAGGGGUGAAAUCCCGGAGCUCAACUCCGGAACUGCCCUUGAAACUGCAGUGCUAGAAUCUUGGAGAGGCGAGUGGAAUUCCGAGUGUAGAGGUGAAAUUCGUAGAUAUUCGGAAGAACACCAGUGGCGAAGGCGACUCGCUGGACGACAACUGACGCUGAGACGCGAAAGCGUGGGGAGCAAACAGG
rnacentral:rRNA from 1 species